rnacentral:rRNA from 1 species
UACGUAGGGUGCAAGCGUUGUCCGGAAUUAUUGGGCGUAAAGGGCUCGUAGGCGGUCUGUUGCGUCGGGAGUGAAAACUUACAGCUUAACUGUGAGCGUGCUUUCGAUACGGGCAGACUUGAGGCAUUCAGGGGAGAACGGAAUUCCUGGUGUAGCGGUGAAAUGCGCAGAUAUCAGGAAGAACACCCGUGGCGAAGGCGGCUCUCUGGGACGGUACUGACGCUGAGAC